CCCACGGCACUGUUGCUCUGUGGGAGCGGCCGGCGGAGCCGGCCUGGAUGUGCGGGGCUGCCGGCGGCAGCUCGUUAGCGCCACACGCGGAUCCCGGCUGCAGCAGUGGCGGGCGAGGGUUGUGGUGACAGUGGAAGAGGGCGGGAGCUGCUGUGGCUGCAGCGAGGUUGAAGCUCGGCCGCGUGGCGAGGGGCAGCGCAGCAGAAGGGAGCAGCACCUGAGCAGGCACGGUCGGGCGGCUGUUCUACUGCGUCAGGAGUCCACUGGUAACGGAGGGUCCAGUCCUGGGAAUUUUACCAGCAUCCAUCAUCUGCUGGAGUGCCCAGGAAUUGGGAGCUCCUCGCCUGCCCUGCUGGAGCUGGGCCCGCCCCGUCCAGGCGUCGCGACUUCUUCAGCGCUGCUCGCUUUGCCGGGACACGCCCCCCUUUGCCGGCCGGGACACCCCCCUGCCUGCGGGGGACCCUCGCCGUUCCAGCCACCAGCCCGGGAGUUUUCUGCCGUUCCAGCUUGGUGCUCUCAGAGUCCCAAGGGAUCAGACUUCCUGGGCUUUGUGAAACAAAGCCCCUCGAGGUUCCUGGUUCUGUUUAUUAUUAAUACUGUAGUUGUUGUUGUUUGUUUGCGUCGUUAUACUUACUAGUAAAGAACUGUUAUUCCUUUCCCCAUAGCUCUGCCUGAAAAGCCUCUUUAAUCUUCUAAAUUAUAAUAACUUGGAGGGAAGGGAUUGAAAUUCCCCAUUCCUAGAGAGACCCCGCCCCUCCCUAGCAGAUACCUGUCUUCCAGUCCAAGACACUUGGUCACCUCAUUCCGAGUCCUCACAGUCAUUCUUCUUGCCGAGAGCUUUUUCUCUCCCUGUUGCGUCCCCUCGUUCGUUGUCUCCUGUGUCACGGGUGUCGGUGUGUGUUUGGCCUCGAGCUGCUCUGCCCUGCUGCAUAGCUGGCUGUAGGGGUAAUAGGACAAGGCCCGGGGCCUUGAAAUUUGUAAUGUAGGGUGUGUUUGGACUGUAGAUUGACAUCAGAUGCCUGGAGCUGUUAAGUUACUCUGCAGCACACUGACUUUUCUCCUAACUUUCUUUCCGAUGCAGAUGGAUUCAAUCCGUGGCAGAGUGCCCCAUCCCGGGUGAGGGGGUUCCCCCGAGGAGGUCGGUCACUGUUCAAGAUGAGAAUCACGUAUUUCACAUUUAUUGGCGCUCCAGUGCAGGCCAGCAAGACAAGCUAUGCAGCAUUGCUCUGUGCUAGAUUAGCACCUACUGCUCCACAAUAUUUACAUUUAUACACCUUAUUAACCUUCAACUUGCUUCCAUCUACCGGAGUUGGAUAUAUGUAAUCCCAGUAAUAUUCCUAAGCCCAGAAAUACUCAGAGGAGUUUGUUCUGUUAGCCGUGUCAGUGGCGCCUUUUAAGCCAGUUCACAACUCCAACCCACUGCUUUGCUUCAUUGUACUCCAGUGCCCCCAGAAAGAGAAUUGCACAACUGGUGCCUGUGCCAAUCACUCCGGGGUCCUGCAGCUCAAGGACUGCCUUGGGACUGAAAACAUCUAGUGACAACGAGUAUUAAUGCAUGGCAGAGAUGUAGGAGCAGCCCUGAAAAUCCAAUCCUUGCUUCUUGCCUCACGUUACUUCUCAGCACGUUUUAAAUGGAGAUGGGUGUCCCGUAACCAGGGACUGAGGGCAGAGCUUACUGGGGGCUGCGGCUCCUCCUGAGAGGCAGCUCUGGUCUCUGCUCACUGUGACGGGGACAGGACGCAGGGAACGGCUGGAGCUGUGUCUGGGGGUGGUUUAUGUGGGAUAUCGGGAAAAGGUUCUUUCACCACAGCGUGCUGGGGGCUGGCCAGGCUCCCCAGGGCAUGGGCACGGCCCCGACGCUGCCGGAGCUCCAGGAGCGUUUGCACAGCUCUGCCAGGGAUGCACAGGGUGUGAUUGUUGGGGUGUCUGUGCAGGGCCAGGAGCUGGGCUGGAUGGUGAUGUCAGGACGCAAUGGCGCUGUGCCCGGAGCCGAAGCGCUCGCUGUCGCUGCUGGAGCCGGGCGGCGGCGGGGCCGAGCAGCAGCAGCAGCGAGAGCGGCGGGCAGACGCGGCCCCCAUGCCCAUGGCGUUCCUGUGCGCCGGCUGCAGCCGGCCCCUGGGCAACACCUCGAGCUGGGCGUUCAGUGUCGAGGAGAGCGGCCGUAUCCUGCUGCGCACAUGGUAGAAACCCUAUUCUGCUCUGGCUACUCAAGGACACUUGGCGGCAUUUACAAGUGCACCACAAGGCAUCUUGACUACAAGAGAGAUUUGUUCUGUUUCAGUAUUGGCUCUGUUGAAAGGUAAACACUGAAUGUUUAUGGGUCAGCCUGCCAGCUCCACUUCACUCAGCAGGCACGGCAGCGAGGGUGCUCCCCUUAUAUCUGUGUAUCCCAGAGCUGAUUUCUGUA